AUGGAAGCUGUGCGCGGCAUCGAGUCCCUGGCUGGUGGAGAUGGCCGGCAUCAUGUUUCCCAUACCCUUGGGACGACCCCGCUGAUCUCGGUGGGGUACAUCGAUCUCGGCAAGUGGGUGGCCGCGGUUGAUUGCGGGGCUCGCUUUGGCUACGACCUCAUGCUACUGGUGCUCCUCUUCAACUUCUCAGGCUCUCAGCCGUUCUCAAUCAGUAUCUCUCUACUUGCAUCGGCAUGGUCACCGGCAUGCAUCAUCUAG
rnacentral:rRNA from 1 species